GACGAACGCUGGCGGCGUGCUUAACACAUGCAAGUCGAACGGAAAGGCCCUGCUUUUGUGGGGUGCUCGAGUGGCGAACGGGUGAGUAACACGUGAGUAACCUGCCCUUGACUUUGGGAUAACUUCAGGAAACUGGGGCUAAUACCGGAUAGGAGCUCCUGCUGCAUGGUGGGGGUUGGAAAGUUUCGGCGGUUGGGGAUGGACUCGCGGCUUAUCAGCUUGUUGGGGGGGUAGUGGCUUACCAAGGCUUUGACGGGUAGCCGGCCUGAGAGGGUGACCGGCCACAUUGGGACUGAGAUACGGCCCAGACUCCUACGGGAGGCAGCAGUGGGGAAUAUUGCACAAUGGGCGGAAGCCUGAUGCAGCAACGCCGCGUGCGGGAUGGCGGCCUUCGGGUUGUAAACCGCUUUCGCCUGUGACGAAGCGUGAGUGACGGUAAUGGGUAAAGAAGCACCGGCUAACUACGUG
rnacentral:rRNA from 1 species